UUUUGUGCCCUUUAUUUUCUACGUAUUAAUCAUUAAUUAUCAUAGUAUAUAUUGUACUAGUUAUUAAAUCAAAAACCUAAAAAAUAAUUAAAUAUGGAAGAGGAAUUUCAACCAUCUAAUGGCCCCAACAACAAACACAAUAUACCCACAAAAUGGCCCAGAUCCGACUCACAGGUGCAGCCCAUUUCAAAUCAAAAUCAGCCUAUCUUACCUCUCAUCUGGCAGCCCAAUUAAAAAAAAAAAAAAGAUCAGCCCACAACCAACUCCACCCGUCCAGCCCACUAUUUCCCCCAACCCGGUCUAUUUCCAUUCCAUCAGCAAACCUAAAACCUAAUAAACAAACAUACAUCACAGCCGCACACCCCCCAAGCGCCUCUCUCAUCUCUUCACUCCCAUCCUCCAUUUUUAGCCAAAAAUCUGUCUCUCUUUUGCCAUACACAGUCCAUGUCCAUCCCGUUUCCACACCAAAUUGUCGCGACGCCUGAGCUGCCUGUCGUUGACAGAAAGUCAUUUCCAUUUCUCACUUCAAAACGCAACAAAUUCACAAAGAACAGAGAAAAUCGAACCAUUUUCGGUAACCCCGAAUCAAAUCAUGUGAAUGGCUUCAACGUUCGGAUUAGUAGGGUUUGACUUAAUUUCGAAUUUUAGAUUUCAACAUCCCGCCGAAAAAACCCUACAAAUCAUACUAUAUAUACAUCUCUAAGUUCGUUUUGAAAAGGGGACGGAGUUUUUUUUACAACACUCAACAUUUUUCUAUUUUUUCCUUAUUACUCUAAAUCUGAAUUUGUUCGAAUUCUGUCCUGUUAGAGUUCUGAUCGUGACUCGAAGCCCCACUUUACUGCGCCAUCGACAGCCAAAGAGUUUCACUUUGGAACUCGACGUCACCCCGCAAAGGCCUGAAAUGGGCAUCUACAUCCUCUUUUACGCCUCUUGGUCCCUCGAAAUGCUUCUGAACAGAAGGACAGAGAGCGGGCAGUCAACUGGCGAAUCAUUGAAAUUUCGUUUUUCCACCGAAGCCAAAUAUGGCUUUACUCCAUUCCCUCUCAUUCGCUGGUGUUGCUUGUUGCUAGAAUGUGUGCUAUAUUUUGUGGUGUGAUUAUUAAUUGUCGAUGAUUCUACUUUGCUUAAUUAUGUGAAUCUUUUCCCCCAAGUUGAUAUUAGAA